rnacentral:rRNA from 1 species
UACAGAGGGGGCAAGCGUUAUUCGGAAUUAUUGGGCGUAAAGGGCGCGUAGGCGGCCUGGCAAGUGGAAGGUGAAAUCCCUCGGCUUAACCGAGGAACUGCCCUCCAAACUGCUUGGCUUGAGUCCGGGAGAGGUGAGUGGAAUUCCCAGUGUAGCGGUGAAAUGCGUAGAUAUUGGGAAGAACACCGGUGGCGAAGGCGGGUCUCUGGGCCGAUACUGACGCUGAGGAGCGAAAGCGUGGGGAGCGAACAGG